CACUGCCGAGAAAAGCCUCUAGAUAGAAAAUAGGUGCCCGUACCGCAAACCGACACAGGUAGUCAAGAUGAGAAUUCUAAGGUGAGCGAGCGAACUCUCGUUAAGGAACUCGGCAAAAUGACCCCGUAACUUCGGGAGAAGGGGUGCUCUUUAGGGUUAACGCCCAGAAGAGCCGCAGUGAAUAGGCCCAAGCGACUGUUUAUCAAAAACACAGGUCUCUGCUAAACCGUAAGGUGAUGUAUAGGGG
rnacentral:rRNA from 1 species